CCAAUCGAACUCGGAGAUAGCUGGUUCUCCCCGAAAUAGCUUUAGGGCUAGCCUCAUAUUAGAUACCCGGAGGUAAAGCACUGAAUGGCCUAGCGCCCGAGAGGGUAGCGAAGCCUAUCAAACUAAGAAUGCCGGAGUAUUGAUGUAUGGGAGUCAGACAGUGUGAGAUAAAUCUCAUUGUCAAAAGGGAAACAGCCCAGAUCUACAGCUAAGGUCCCAAAUUGUAUCUAAGUGGAAAACGAUGUGGAAAUACGCAGACAACCAGGAUGUUGGCUCAGAAGCAGCCACUCAUUUAAAGAGUGCGUAAUAGCUCACUGGUCGAGCGUCUCUGCGCGGAAAAUUUAACGGGGCUAAGAUACAAACCGAAGCUUAGGCUGCACGAAAGUGCGGGGUAGGGGAGCGUUGUGUAAGCGGAGAAACAGUAGCGUAAGCGGCUGUGGAGUUUACAGAAGUGAGAAUGCCGGAAUGAGUAGCGCGAAUGUGGUGAGAAUCCACAUGGCCGGAAACCUCAGGUUUUUGGAGGAAGGUUCGUCCGCUCCAAGUUAGGCGGGAGCUAAGGUGAGGCCGAAAGGCGUAGCCGAUGCACAGACGGUAGAGAUUCCGUCACCACCAAAAGAGUUAAGCACAGGGACACAUAAGAAGUCUCAGAGCCGGGUGUUGGUUCCGGUAGAGAUCGAGGGAAAAUAGUACCGAAGUCUGGGAUGGAAGAUGGCGAGAAAAGCUGUGUGGAUUUCUGCGGUGCCCGUACCGCAAACCGACACAGGUAGGUAGGAAGAAGAUUCUAAGGCCAACGGGAGAAGGGUUGUUAAGGAACUCGGCAAAUUGACCCCGUAACUUCGGGAGAAGGGGUGCUCCAGAGAUGGAGCCGCAGAGAAUCGGCCCAAGCAACUGUUUACCAAAAACACAGGUUUGUGCUAAAUCGAAAGAUGACGUAUACGAGCUGACGCCUGCCCGGUGCUGGAAGGUUAAGAGGAGAUGUGCAAGCAUUGAAUCGAAGCCCCAGUGAACGGCGGCCGUAACUAUAACGGUCCUAAGGUAGCGAAAUUCCUUGUCAGGUAAGUUCUGACCCGCACGAAAGGCGUAAUGAUUUGGGCACUGUCUCAACAGCCCGCCCGGCGAAAUUGUAGUACCGGUGAAGAUGCCGGUUACCCGCGACAAGACGGAAAGACCCCAUGGAGCUUUACUGUAGCCUAAUAUUGGGUUUCGAUGUUGCAUGCACAGGAUAGAUGGGACACUGGGAAGCAGGUGCUUUGGCGCUUGUGGAGUGGCCGUUGGGAUACCAUCCUUGCGAUAUUGGAAUUCUAACCUGCGCCUUUGAAUCAAGGCGGGCUGCCACUUUUCCUUGCAACAUUCCCAUAGCAUUGGUGAAUGUUCCGGGAUUGAGGUCAUCUUUCUUCAUGCUGGUAACCGAUCCUGUAAGCUCUUUCUUUGUGGUAGAGCCGUAGCCGAUUACUACAACGUCAUUAAGCACUUUCGAGUCUUCGCGCAGGUGUAUUACAAGCUGUGUCUGAUUUCCUACUUGUUGUUCAACAGUUGCAUAACCUACAUAAGAUAUAACCAAUACAUCAGAAGGAUUCGCUUUUACAUUGAAGGUUCCAUCAACUCCUGUAAUAGAACCAUUUGUUGUACCUUUAACAAGGACACUGGCACCGAUAAUGGGUUCAUUUGCUUCAUCGAGGACUGUACCUCUUAUUGCCUUCUGGGCAAUAGCAUCAUUGCUCAUCAAAGAAAAUACUAUUAACAACAUACUUGUCAAUAGACCGUGGAUUGAACAUUGUUUUAUCAUAAUAACAGAAUUAAGGAUGAUUAUUGUAUUUCUUUUCUCAAAGGUAUAGAUACUUGUGCUCCCAUUCUGGUAACAGAAAUAGAAGAGGCUUUACUUGCAAAUAUAAUUGCAUCUUUUAGAUUUUUGCCCUCAGACAGAGCUACGCACAAUCCGCCGCAGAAUGUAUCUCCGG
rnacentral:rRNA from 1 species